UGUCCAUUCAAGUGCCAGUUAUGCUUUUGCUUAGAUCUCUGUGUAGUAUAGGUCUGUUGUGUUAUGCUCUGGCAACUUGUCGGGAGGGCUUUAAGCCCGUGGGUACAAAAUGUUACAUUAUAUCCCACUCGACGAUGGAAUGGAUUGCGGCCGCGCUCUUUUGCACUGAGAAUAAAGCCCAGAUGCUGGUGGUGGAAAAUGCAAAGGAAAGGGAUCUUCUCCUGACAUAUUUCAAAAGCGAAGGUGUUGAUUUAGAAUGUUGGUCCUCAGGCGUGUGGACAGCAAUUAAUUGCCUCAAAGAAAAUCGAAAGUUUGUUUUGCAUCCCACAAACGAAAAAAUUCCUUUUAAUAUGUGGGGACCUGGACAGCCUGACUAUUGGCGUCAAAAGUGUGUGUCAUGUUGUUUUCACUAUAGCCCAUCAAAGUUGGUAUAUCAUGAUUAUGAGUGCGAUGCAACCAGGUAUAGAGCUGUAUGUCAGUAUCCUAAGCCUGCACCCUUAGAAGAUGCAGAAAUGUGCGUUGAACUUGAAGAAGCUCCUCCAUAUUGUAAAACUCUUAAGCCCACUGAGUUGGAAAAUAUAAAGCCACUUGCUAAGAUCGAACUUUAA